GCUCUUCUAAGAGGACAAACAUCAGUUCGUUCUCAGCGGAUUCGUCGCUCCUUCAACAAGGAGAAUUCGUAUUGUCUCGAAAACAGGAACCGGAAAUCCUUUGAACGAUUUGAUGAACCAAGAAGUGAAAUUCACUGCAAUAGACUGUUUGCAUCAAUGGAAACCAAUGCAUGUGAUGACAGCCCCAAAAUUGUCAAAGUCGAUACAUUGAAGACAAGAUCAAGGUCACGUAGGUUCAACCUCAAUGCAUUAUCAG